GGUUACUACGAGCGUCAGCUUAAAACCCAAAGGACUUGGCGGUGCUUUAGAUCCUACUAGAGGAGCCUGUUCUAGAACCGAUAAUCCCCGUUCAACCUCACCUUUCCUUGUUCUUUCCCGCCUAUAUACCGCCGUCGUCAGCCCACCCUCUGAAGGUCUAACAGUAGGCAAAAUUGCACAGCCCAAAACGUCAGGUCGAGGUGUAGCGUAUGGAAAGGGAAGAAAUGGGCUACAUUCCCUAUUAUAGGGCAUAACGAAUGAUGCGCUGAAACGCACAUCUUGAAGGAGGAUUUAGCAGUAAGCA
rnacentral:rRNA from 1 species